UACGGAGGGAGCUAGCGUUGUUCGGAAUUACUGGGCGUAAAGCGCACGUAGGCGGCUUUCUAAGUCAGGGGUGAAAUCCCGGGGCUCAACCCCGGAACUGCCCUUGAAACUGGAUGGCUAGAAUCCUGGAGAGGCGAGUGGAAUUCCGAGUGUAGAGGUGAAAUUCGUAGAUAUUCGGAAGAACACCAGUGGCGAAGGCGACUCGCUGGACAGGUAUUGACGCUGAGGUGCGAAAGCGUGGGGAGCAAACAGG
rnacentral:rRNA from 1 species